rnacentral:rRNA from 1 species
AUUGAACGCUGGCGGCAGGCCUAACACAUGCAAGUCGAACGAGUGGCGGACGGGUGAGUCAUGUCUGUGAACAUGCCUGGUGGAGGGGGCUAACUCCUGGAAACGGUGGCUAAUACCGCAUACCUUCCCAUGUGCCCCAAUGGGACUAGCUUGUGGGUGGGGUAACGGCUCACCAAGGCGACGAUCCCUAGCUGGUCUGAGAGGAUGACUAGCCACACUGGAACUGAGACACGGUCCAGAAUCCUACGGGAGGCAGCAGUGGGGAAUAUUGCACAAUGGGCGCAAGCCUGAUGCAGCCAUGCCGCGUGUAUGAAGAAGGCCUUCGGGUUGUAAAGUACUUUCAGCGGGGAGGCGUUACCCGCAGAAGAAGCACCGGCUAACUCCGUGCCAGCAGCCGCGGUAAUUC